UGUCGAGAAAGCAAAAAAGGUUGGUGUUUAAUUUGUUGUUUUUGUUGCUUUGCAGAUCACUUGGUACUGUGUUUUUGUUGCUUUGCAGAUCAUUUGUUUCAUUCUUCUCUUCUCUUUCUCACGUUCCUGAAGUUCAUGGGAUAAUUAUGUAUUCACGUUUAUAUGAGAGCCAUAACGUCAACACACAUUUGCUUCGAUCUACUAUGGUAAAAAAAAAACUAUCAGAUUCAUCAUUGGGUGUGAAACCACUGUUUUUUUUUGUUCCAUGUCUACAUGAUUUUGUGUUGUUUCUACUUGUGUUUGUCAUAUUAGAGAGUCUUUGCCGUUUAAGAAUGAUAAAAGAUUUGUUGCAACGCAAGUUAAGGCUCCACCUCAACUACAGAAAACGGUUUGUUAAGUUGCUUAACAUCUAUGAAGUUGUAGUUCAGUUCUCUGUAAGAUUUCAAAGACAUUAGUUUCAUUUGGCAACA